CAAAUAGUUACUUUAAAAUAUAUAUAUCUUUAAAGGAGUUCGGGAAAUUAAUGCCUGCCCUCUUGGACGGCUAAAGAUCGUGCGCGUUGUGUGGGUCGCUGUUUCAGUCUUGGAUUAGUCAGCCAGGUUGGUGGAUAAAGAGAACGAGUCGCCCAGGUGGGUGGAGAUGCCCUCACAUUAGAUCACAGGAAGGCCUCAAAAACGAGGAACAAUACCGCAGAGAUGAGAAGCUGAAACUUUCUCUCAACAUAAAUAACACUUUGCAGGUUUUAAAAAAAGAAGUUCUUUACCAUCUGCAGCUUUUUAUACACAUUUUAUAUAAAUAUGGACAGCUCAAAAUGCUUUAAUAAAUACAAAAAUACAUUUUUGUCAUUUAGUUAAAGGUUGAUUUCAAAGCAAAGUGGGAUAAUUUGAUUUUCUAAAUAUUUUAAAAGCUAAAUUUUAUAUAUUUAAUGGCUUAACGGCCAAAAAACAUAAAAGAAGUGUAUUUUUUUAAAGAACUUUGCAGCUUUUAGUGGGUUAUGAUCUCUUUUACCAUUAAAAGUUGCAAAAUCCUGAAUGAGAUUCAAAAGAAAGCCACUUUGAAUUUUAUUUAUUUAAUAUAUUUGACGGUUUUAUUGUGUUUUUAUUUUAUACAUUUUAAUAUUUAAUUUUUUGUUAUGUAAUAGUGUCAUUGAAUUUCAUUUGGGGUUAUUAAAGCCUCUAUUCUACUCUAUUCUAUUCCAUUCUAUUCUAUUAAUUACUUGUAUUUUCCAAUCGAUUUUAUGUUUAAUAUGUCUUUGUAUGGAUGUAAUCCUCUGUUGGUUGUCUUGUUUAUGUAUUAUUCUUGUUUCGAGUGGUUGAAAUUAACCAUAUUCUAUUCUAUUUUAGUCUAUUCUAUUCUAAUGUAUUCUAUUCUAAUGUAUUCUAUUCUAUUCUAUUCUAGACUAGUGUUUUUCAACCUUUUUUGAAAAAAAUUGCAUUUUUUUCCUAAAAUAAAUCACAGGGCACACAGGGUUCCAAACAUGUGAAAUAAAUAAAUAAAAUAAAUAACAAUCUGUAGUCUUUUUUAUCAAAAUGUGUUGAAUAAAAUUCAAACAGACAAAAGUAAGAAGUAUUUCAUAAUCUUUCAUUUUCUACCAACUCAAUGUUAAAUCUGGUUCUUUUUGGAUGAUCAUAGAACUGAAAUCCUGGCAAACAUUUAUUUUAUUUAUUUGGUGAAGUUGAACCGUUUCCACUACCUCACAAUCUCCCACGGUUAAAAAAACAUUUCUAAAUAAUAAUACAUCAAAUAUAAAAACUGAGAGUCUUACAUGAAGUAAUGAAGCUCUGUUAACAUAACUAGAAUCUAAUAAGUAAUUACACCUCUAAAAAGAGUUUUUAAAGCAUUCUCUUUGCAAAAAAAAAAAACAAACAGAUUCAUCAGACAAAGAAAACAAACGUGUGAUGUGAAGAUUUGUCCUCAGAAUUUGAGUUUGUGUUCAAAUACUGCGAUGAAGAAGAGACAGGCCCAGCCCAUCCAGAGGCCGAGGUUCUGCAGGAGAAACGUCAGGCCGGGUCUGUCGCUCUUCACUCGACUCAUCUCUGGAAGCUGAUGACAAAAAAAAAUAAAAAAUAAA